GAACACCAAUGAUUAGAGAAACAUAUUACAGGGAUAGUUAAUAAAAUCCUUUAUAAGACGGCUAUAUUCUGUAGAUCAUCACAAAAGCUUCACAAAAUUAUCACGACAGGCGAUAAAAUGAAGUCUCAACUAGCAGUAGUGUUGGUAGUUCUGGGCGUGGCUGCUUAUGCCUCUGCGGGCAGUUAUGGCCCUCAAGGAAUGAUCCAUCAGCAAUAUAUGCGACCUCAAAUCUAUAGACAACAAGCCCAAAUGUAUGCCCAGCAACCUUACGUCCAAUAUGCUUAUGCCCAACCCCAGGUAGCGUACGGACAGGCAGGCGGAUCUGGUGGACUUCUCGGUCAAUCCGGUGCUGCGGCCGGUUCCAUUAUCCCAAUUGUCAUCAUUUUUGUUAUAAUUGCCAUACUUGCACCAGUCCUGAUUGGGUCUUUAGUCUCCAGCAAUGACGUGGUGUACAGCGGUAGCAAAUAGAUAAUGAUGGACUGAUAGGGAAGGGAUUUUUAUUUUAUCGACUGCCUGUGACAUAUUUUGAAAAUAAAUGACUGCAACUA